AAAAGCGGAGGAAAAGAAACCAACUGGGAUUACCUUAGUAACGGCGAGUGAAGCGGUAAAAGCUCAAAUUUGAAAUCUGGUACUUUCAGUGCCCGAGUUGUAAUUUGUAGAAUUUGUCUUUGAUUAGGUCCUUGUCUAUGUUCCUUGGAACAGGACGUCAUAGAGGGUGAGAAUCCCGUUUGGCGAGGAUACCUUUUCUCUGUAAGACUUUUUCGAAGAGUCGAGUUGUUUGGGAAUGCAGCUCAAAGUGGGUGGUAAAUUCCAUCUAAAGCUAAAUAUUGGCGAGAGACCGAUAGCGAACAAGUACAGUGAUGGAAAGAUGAAAAGAACUUUGAAAAGAGAGUGAAAAAGUACGUGAAAUUGUUGAAAGGGAAGGGCAUUUGAUCAGACAUGGUGUUUUUUGCAUGCACUCGCCUCUCGUGGGCUUGGGCCUCUCAAAAAUUUCACUGGGCCAACAUCAAUUCUGGCAGUAGGAUAAAUCAUUAAGAAUGUAGCUACCUCGGUAGUGUUAUAGCUUAUUGGAAUACUGCUAGCUGGGAUUGAGGACUGCGCUUCGGCAAGGAUGUUGGCAUAAUGGUUAAAUGCCGCCCGUCUUGACCC
rnacentral:rRNA from 1 species